rnacentral:rRNA from 1 species
UAGGGAAUCUUCGGCAAUGGACGAAAGUCUGACCGAGCAACGCCGCGUGAGUGGAGAAGGUUUUCGGAUCGUAAACUCUGUUGGUAGAGAAGAACGUUGGUGAGAGUGGAAAGCUCAUCAAGUGACGGUAACUACCCAGAAAGGGACGGCUAACUACGUGCCGG